AUGGAUAGCGAUUCUCCAGAACCUACAAGCUGAAGAUGUUGAAUGGAGGGCCCCAUGGAUGAUCCCUGAUAAAAUCUUAUAUCGGUGUGGUGACUUUAACUGGGUCCCUCUACUUGGGAUAUGGGGAGCCGUUGGAUACACUCCACUACUCGUGUUGAGACAUAUUGAUCAAGGCAAUUCAUACCAGCGACGCAAGGGUUGGUUCAGUGCGAGUUCCCAUACAAGGGGAUAAUUAUAAGAAGAGAAUUCGUGAGAUAUCGAAUGUUUGGAAACAAACAAGUAAGAUGAAAGGAUUCACUGCAGGUCCAAUGAUGACCCCCGAAUACGACUGGUGGUGGGGUAAAAGAAUCAACGACAACAUCCCAAUGCCAAAUCAAGAAAAUGCUCGACCGAUAGAGGAACAUUUAUAAACAGUCCCGUUUGAGUUAGAGAUCAUCAAGCAAGACUUUGAGAAAAUGAGCUCGAAUUGGGAAAAAAGAUAGAGUAGUUAGAAGAGGAGAAGAUGAAGUUGGGAUUAGAUGUCGAUAUCCACAAGCUAGAGGCCGAGAUAUUAAGGAAAGGAAAGAACAAGGUCGAGGAACAUUUAGAUAGUCUGAAAACUGAUUAUAAAAAGCUGCGUAUGUCAAUAAGAACUACCGAUUUGGGUAAAACGUCAAAGUAGUGGCGUCAAGAAAUUAAAGAAGAAAAGACUAGAGCCGAUCAUUGGGAGAAGAAGUUUCAAGAUGUCCGAGUGCGAGAAGACGCUUUGAAAAAUAGUUUGUUGGAAAGUCAAAGCGAAAAAGAGAGGUUACAAGCUCGGGUGGCUGAAUUAGAAAAAUCACUACAUCGGCAUCGUAGCCGUAACUGUGUAGUUAAGCUGAAGGCCAGUCUAGGCAAGAUCGAUGAGUAAGGAAAAUCGAAGAACUCGAGACUACACUACAAGAUAGUAAAACUCGAGUGAAGCUCCUUGAGGCAAACAAUGAACAUUGCAAAGAACAACUUCACCGCUCUCAAGAUCAUAUCAGAAAUAGAGAUUAUGUCAUGAACGAAGCUGUGGCUCAAGUUCGAGAGGUGGCCGAUCAUUUACAAACCUUGGCAGUUCAGGCUGAUGUAUUAAGCUUAAAGUAAGAAUCAGAAUCAGAUCGAAGCCAGGACUUAGCUCGGCUUCUUAGGAAGGUUAAGGCUUUGGGCAUUAAGGCAAGGUUGUAUAUGUAAUCAUUCGUUCUAUGUAAAGAGAUUUUUCUUCUAGUAAAAUUGUUCUAAUGAAAUUGAAUCUGAAUCAACGCAUUUUUUUUUGCAUUCAUUUCAUUCAUUUGCAUUACAUUUCAUGAUAUGCAUUAAAUUUCAUGAAAAGACCCUAAUUAAACCAAAUUAUUUCAAUUAAUCUGGAAACCAAAAAGAGUCAACCAACUGAAUACCGCUACAAUACCCGUCACAAAACUAAAGCAAUGGAUCAGAGACUAGAAAGACUAGAACAAAUGCAAAGGGAUAUGCAAGAGCAAUUGCAAGCGCAGAUGCAAGAGCAGUUAGCUAAAAUACAACAAGAUAUGAGGGAACAAAUGCAAGAGUCCCAAAAUAAUAUAAUGAGCCAAUUGGCGCAGUUGCUGGUCAGAGAACAUGAAAAAGGGAAGAGUACUGCGAACGAAAAUGAGGAUCCUAUCUACCCCCCGGGCUUUACUCUAAUCAACGUCCAAACGCCACCAGAAGUAUACCCACGAGGGGCACCCGUUACUAUCAGGCCUCAACAGUAUCAAACCGAUACUUCAGCACCAAUGAACUAUUAAACAGGCUCGGGUUUUAAUCCUGGGGAUAACCCAACCAAUCCCGUUGUUCCUGAUCUCGAUAAUGUAGCAAAGGUGGAGAAAAUAAUAGUAGAAUUACCAAAACAACUGGAUAAUCGAUACAGAUGGUUGGAAAAAAAAACUCAAAGCAAUGGAGAACGCUGAUUAUGGAAUGGACGCCAAGGACUUAAAUUUAGUCCCAGAUUGAGUACUCCCUUCUAAGUUCAAAACCCCAGAUUUUGAAAAAUGCAAUAGAACUAGCUAUCCAGAAGCUCACAUUACCAUGUUCUGUCGAAGGGUGACAGGGUACGCUCAAAUCCAUUCAUGGAAAGACUUGGCACAAGUUUUCAUGAAGCAAUACGGCCACGUGACAGACAUAGCACCCGACCGAAUCACGUUACAAAACAUGGAGAAGAAACAAAAUAAGAGCUUCGGGUGAUUAAAGGAUCAAAAGAAUGAGAAGUUUACGCCUCAGAAGAGCGAACAACAGAAGGGAUCCAAAGAAUUAAUCACCUUGUGGUGAUCAUUUCGCGACUAAGGAAAAAUGAAGCAGGAAUGCAAAUGGCGUCGAGAAUCAUAAUUCAGAAACCCGUAUCCUUUCGCUAUAAGGAUAGCAAAAGGGUUCUCUGGAACUACGACUGCAACGUGACAAUCCUGGGAGAGAAGAAUCCAGCUAGUGCAUCAGGAGAGAGCCAAGAUGUAGGUUUCUAUACAUGCAGUGGGAGACGUUAUGAUCCUGCGGGUACAAGAAUCAAAAUUGUUAAAGAAAAGGCCCCGAUAGUCGAACAAAAGAAAGAGAAGACGGUCAGGUCAAAUCACCAAUUAACGAGCCAAUGACUGAAAAAGAGGGUAGAGAAUUCUUGAAAUUAUUAAAACACAGCGAAUACAGUGUUGUAGAAUAGCUACAUAAGCAGCCAGCUCGUAUCUCAGUGCUAGCAUUGCUUUUGAGCUCGAAGACACAUCGGAGUGCGUUAAUGAAAAUGCUAAACGAAACCUAUGUCACGGACGACAUAUCUGUUAACAAACUGGACCGUCUGGUCAACAACAUCAGCACCAAUAAUUUUAUUUUCUUUAAUGAUGAUGAAAUACCACCAGGAGGUAUGGGAUCUACAAAUGCCCUGUACAUCACCACCCAUUGCAAAGGGUACACAUUGCUGGGGUAUUGAUCGAUAAUGGAUCGGCACUAAACGUCCUACUCCUAUCCAUACUGAAUAGGUUGCCAGUGGAUAGUUCCCAUAUGAAGACAUGCUAAAAUGUAGUGAGGGCAUUUGACGGCACCAAAAGAAAAGUAAUGGGAAGGAUUGAAAUACCACUUUUAAUCGGUCCAAGUACGUACAAGGUAGAUUUCUUGGUGAUGGACAUCAAACCCUCUUACAAUUGCUUAUUGAGAAGGCCAUGGAUUCACUUAGCGGGGGCAGUUCUGUCAUCGUAACAUCAAAAGCUCAAAUUUAUAACGGAAGGCCGAUUGGUGACCAUAAACGCGGAAGAGGAUAUCAUUGCAUCCGUUACCAGCGGUGCACCAUAUGUGGGGACAGAUGAUGAAGCCAUAGAAUGUUCUUUUCAAUUAUUAGAAUUUAUAAAUACGACCUUCAUUGCCGAAGGAAAUAAGGUCCCGACACCUAAAAUCUCUGAGACUACAAUGAUGGGCUUACAAUUGACGGUUGGGAAAGGAGCUUUACCCAGGAAGGGGUCUAGAAGAAGCCUACAAGGAAGGAUCAAGGCACCCAUACUCAUGGACAAAUGAGACCGCUUUGACUUAAGAUUCAAGCCGGAUGUAAAUUAAAAGAAAAAGGAUCAAGAGAAGAAACAAGAAAAUAUUAAAGCGCAUUUAAGCGAGGAGGAGGUUAAAUGGGAACCAAUGACCUUUUCUCACAUAUCUAGAACAUUCGUGUCGGGAGGGACUAUUUACUCUGAAGAAAGAUCGCUAGGGAAAGGGUCUUUCGAAGAAAUGUUGGAAAACUUGAGCAUUAACGCCAUAUCUGAAGAAGAAACAAGAGAAGAUGAUCAAUUAGACAUUUGCCCAUACAUGCAUGAGAGCGUUUUGAACAAUUGGACCGCGAAGGAGAUCCCUGUAACUUUUAAAAUUAAUUCAGAGUAAUGUCCAAAACAAGCUUAUUGCUCUAAGCCUAGGGGCAAUCAGAAUCCUUUUGUGAAAUAGGCUCUUAUCCAAUAUCGUUAUUUCAAUAAAAAAAUACAUCUUUGCGUAUCAUCUUGAGCAAAUAUUCUUUUAUUCUUUCCAUUUCAUUCAUAAUCAUACCACCAACAAAUAUUCUUAGAUUCAUUUGUUCUUUGGACUUCUCUUCAUCCCUAUAACAUGUCUCCAGAUAUCAAUGAUAUGAGUAAUGCUGCUACUGGCUCAGAGUCUCCUUUUGAGCAAUAUAUAUGUACAGAGGAUUCUCGAGAUUUUGAAGAUGACCAAAACUGUAACCUAUCUCCUGAUUUGUUAAAGAUGGUAGAAUAAGAUGAGAAAACAAUCCUACCUUACAAGGAGUCAGCAGAAAUUGUAAGCUUAGGAGAAUGAAAAGAGGUAAAGAUUGGAGCUUGUAUCGCCACAAAGACAAAGCGAGACCUCAUCGAGUUACUACAAGAAUUCAAUGAUGUCUUUGCAUGGUCAUAUCAAGACAUGCUCGGGUUGAAUACUGAUAUGCUUAUUCCAAGCUUUCGACCAAUUUUGGAACCCCGCCUACAGUUGCUUCACUUUUGGGGGAGUUGAUUUGGUACCUACCGUGGAAGAGUAUAUGUCCUUACUAAGCUGUUCAAUAGUUAAAGUCGACAAGGUCUAUUCCAGAGCUGCUAACGUCCCGCCCUUUGUAAAGAGACUGAUGAAUAUCACGGGGAUGAGCAAGCAAUGGAUUGCAGCCUGGAUUAAGCAAAAGGGAGACGGAAGUUGUAUUCUUUGAAAGAACUUAAGGGAUCUAAUUCUAGCAUAUCCGGAUAUGAAAAAGAGGGUUAAUGUUUUCGCUUUGAGCAUCUACGGUUAGGUCACCUUUCCCAAUACAUUAGGACACGUAGAUGAAGCAAUCUCAGACCUGUUUGUUCAACUUAAUAAAGGGGUCACGCUUGUCCCUGCGAUCUUGGUCGAAACGUUUAGAUCAUUGAAUGCUUUUCGGAGAGCGGGUGAAGGUAGAUUUAUAGGAUGUGCGUAACUUUUUCUAUCGUGGUUCCAUAGCCACUUUUGGAGGGUAGAAGAGGUCUCAUAUCGAGUUUUUUUCUGAAAACUACUCUCCAUCUAAAGAAUUAGUGGCUAUACCAAGACGGGAUAAUCUUUCCAAAGAGAAAUGGAUAGCGAUUCUCCAGAACCUACAAGCUGAAGAUGUUGAAUGGAGGGCCCCAUGGAUGAUCCCUGAUAAAAUCUUAUAUCGGUGUGGUGACUUUAACUGGGUCCCUCUACUUGGGAUAUGGGGAGCCGUUGGAUACACUCCACUACUCGUGUUGAGACAUAUUGAUCAAGGCAAUUCAUACCAGCGACGCAAGGGUUGGUUCAG
rnacentral:lncRNA from 1 species